rnacentral:pre_miRNA from 7 species
AACUAUGAGCAUUGUUAUGAAAUGGUAAGUGCUCACUGAAAGACCCCCGAAGGGAGACCCUCACUCAAGCCUCGGGACAGCCGCGGACCCAAGAAGACACUGAGACCG